GAUGAACGCUGUCUACAGGCUUAACACAUGCAAGUCGAGGGGAAACGACGGGGAAGCUUGCUUCCCCGGGCGUCGACCGGCGCACGGGUGAGUAACGCGUAUCCAACCUGCCUCUGACUGAGGGAUAACCCGUCGAAAGUCGGCCUAAUACCUCAUGGCAUCGUCUGCGGGCAUCCAACGACGAUUAAAGAUUUCAUCGGUCAGGGAUGGGGAUGCGUCUGAUUAGCUUGUUGGCGGGGUAACGGCCCACCAAGGCUACGAUCAGUAGGGGUUCUGAGAGGAAGGUCCCGCACAUUGGAACUGAGACACGGUCCAAACUCCUACGGGAGGCAGCAGUGAGGAAUAUUGGUCAAUGGGCGGGAGCCUGAACCAGCCAAGUAGCGUGCAGGAUGACGGCCCUAUGGGUUGUAAACUGCUUUUAUGCGGGGAUAAAGUGAGGGACGUGUCCUUCAUUGCAGGGACCGCAUGAAUAAGGACCGGCUAAUUCCG
rnacentral:rRNA from 1 species